rnacentral:rRNA from 1 species
UCGAGCGGAACGAAGAUAGCUUGCUAUCAGGCGUCGAGCGGCGGACGGGUGAGUAAUGCUUAGGAAUCUGCCCAGUAGUGGGGGAUAGCCCGGGGAAACUCGGAUUAAUACCGCAUACGCCCUUUUGGGGAAAGCAGGGGAUCUUCGGACCUUGCGCUAUUGGAUGAGCCUAAGUCGGAUUAGCUAGUUGGUGGGGUAAAGGCCCACCAAGGCGACGAUCCGUAGCUGGUCUGAGAGGAUGAUCAGCCACAUCGGGACUGAGACACGGCCCGAACUCCUACGGGAGGCAGCAGUGGGGAAUAUUGGACAAUGGGCGCAAGCCUGAUCCAGCCAUGCCGCGUGUGUGAAGAAGGCUUUCGGGUUGUAAAGCACUUUCAGUGAGGAGGAAGGCUUUCAGAUUAAUACUCUGGAGGAUUGACGUCACUCACAGAAGAAGCACCGGCUAACUCCGUGCCAGCAGCCGCGGUAAUACGGAGGGUGCAAGCGUUAAUCGGAAUUACUGGGCGUAAAGCGCGCGUAGGUGGUUGAGUAAGCGAGAUGUGAAAGCCCCGGGCUUAACCUGGGAACGGCAUUUCGAACUGCUCGGCUAGAGUGUGGUAGAGGGUAGUGGAAUUU